rnacentral:lncRNA from 1 species
UAUAAUACCCCUAGUAAUUGUAGUUAAAAGAGUAAUUGGAUAAAGUAAAAGUUAAUAAAUAGGAGUAUGAUAGUGAAAACUAAUAAUAAAUAUUGCAUUAAUAUUGUAAGAGGAAAAUUAUUUUGAGACAGAAAAAAAGUGCAAAUGAGACACUUUUUAUGAGACAAAAAUGAAGUAUUAAAAUAAAAAUAAAAUAAAAUAAGACAAACAUAUACCAAGAAAAUGAAAACAAAAAAC